UACGUAGGGUGCGAGCGUUAAUCGGAAUUACUGGGCGUAAAGCGUGCGCAGGCGGUUCGUCGUGUCCGAUGUGAAAGCCCCGGGCUCAACCUGGGAAUGGCAUUGGAAACUGGCGGGCUUGAGUGUGGCAGAGGGGGGUGGAAUUCCGCGUGUAGCAGUGAAAUGCGUAGAGAUGUGGAGGAAUACCGAUGGCGAAGGCAGCCCCCUGGGAUAACACUGACGCUCAUGCACGAAAGCGUGGGGAGCAAACAGG
rnacentral:rRNA from 1 species